AUACGGAGGGUGCAAGCGUUAAUCGGAAUUACUGGGCGUAAAGCGCACGCAGGCGGUUUGUUAAGUCAGGUGUGAAAUCCCCGGGCUCAACCUGGGAACUGCAUCUGAUACUGGCAAGCUUGAGUCUCGUAGAGGGGGGUAGAAUUCCAGGUGUAGCGGUGAAAUGCGUAGAGAUCUGGAGGAAUACCGGUGGCGAAGGCGGCCCCAGGGACAAAGACUGACGCUCAGUUGCGAAAGCGUGGGGAGCAAACAGGAUUAGAUACCCUGGUCGUCCACGCCGUAAACGAUGUCGACUUGGAGGUUGUGCCCUUGAGGCGUGGCUUCCGGAGCUAACGCGUUAAGUCGACCGCCUGGGGAGUACGGCCGCAAGGUUAAAACUCAAAUGAAUUGACGGGG
rnacentral:rRNA from 1 species